rnacentral:rRNA from 1 species
GAUGAAUGCUGGCGGCGUGCCUAAUACAUGCAAGUCGAGCGAACAGACGAGGAGCUUGCUCCUCUGACGUUAGCGGCGGACGGGUGAGUAACACGUGGAUAACCUACCUAUAAGACUGGGAUAACUUCGGGAAACCGGAGCUAAUACCGGAUAACAUGUUGAACCGCAUGGUUCAACAGUGAAAGACGGUUUUGCUGUCACUUAUAGAUGGAUCCGCGUCGCAUUAGCUAGUUGGUAAGGUAACGGCUUACCAAGGCAACGAUGCGUAGCCGACCUGAGAGGGUGAUCGGCCACACUGGAACUGAGACACGGUCCAGACUCCUACGGGAGGCAGCAGUAGGGAAUCUUCCGCAAUGGGCGAAAGCCUGACGGAGCAACGCCGCGUGAGUGAAGAAGGUCUUCGGAUCGUAAAACUCUGUUAUUAGGGAAGAACAAAUGUGUAAGUAACUAUGCACGUCUUGACGGUACCUAAUCAGAAAGCCACGGCUAACUACGUG